AUGAAUGUUAAUCAUGACAAUUUCAAUAUUGUUUAUUACUUCUUCAUUAUAGAUGCUCUUACGGUUCGCCUCAGGCCUAUCCAGAAGUUGUCGAGAAGCGUGCUGUGCCAGGAAAAGUGGAACUGGAAAACGUCAAUGCAGAGAUCGCCAGAUGCUGCCAGGAAAGAAAAUCAAAUGACAAUUCCUAAUACUCGAUAUAUCCCGGUUAAGGUUCCGUCAAAAGUAGACCUUGUAGACACAUCUCGAGCCAUUCGACCUCGCACCUUUUCCCCGCACCAGUGUGGGCCCAGAUGUGUUUCUUGGUUGGCUAUACGGGAGAUGAAGGGAAAGGUUAUGGUCCACUUGUACUUCCUUUAUUAUUUGGAUUUGAAAGAGUGCUGACAAAAUUAAGGAAUAAAGGCAUCAUAUUUUAUAUAGCACCCUGCGGGCGAAGACUUCGAAACAUAUCAGAAAUUCACCGCUAUCUUAGGAUAACAAAAUCGCUAAUGACUGUUGAUCAGUUCAGUUUUGAAGAAUGGGUCAAUUGUCUCAGUGAGUUUAAGAUAACAAGGUGUUUCAAUUAAUUAAGGUAAGAUAUCUUUGCUGUUACUCAUUAUGCCUAGCUUCCACAUUGCCUAUUAUCCCUCCAUCCUUGGGAAGAUCUAAUUUUUGUAAGGUACGAAUUGUGUUUGAGUCGCUUGUUAUGAUGAAAACUUAUGUUGAAAACUUCCACUAGAAUUUUUCUUUGAUGCACAUUGUAUUAUACUGAAAAAUAUCUGGGAAAACCCUCAUGAUACUUAUGAGAAACACCUGACUUAAGUGAAAUUUUGUAUAGAACAGAAUAUUGUCUUGAUUAGGGAAUACUAAUUUUAAGCACAGUGAAGGCUCAGUUAUUUAAACUCUGAUUAUUCAAAUCGAUUUAACAAGCUUGCGUCGCAAAAAUUUUGGGUGAACUAGUCAACUGACAAUGUGUAAAAAUCAACUGUUGGGUGGGUAUACGUUCCGUAACAUGGGUGGGAUAUUACUGCUUGAAAACUCGCUGUGAAAAAGAAACAAAUGCACCUUACUGAAUGGAACUUGUCGCAAGAGUCUUAUUCAAGUGAAUAGACUUUAUACCGGUAAAAUUGCACAAAAAUCAAGCUGAGCACAUAGAAACGUCUGAUAUUCACGCCUUAGAGCAGAAUUUGCAUAGUUCAUACACUCAGGUUGCCAGCGACCGGGAAAAGUCAGGAAAAAAAACCACGAAAGUCAGGGAAAGUCAGGGAUUUGGUGUUGGUCAGGGAUUUCUGAUUUUCGUGGAAUUAGCGCGGGCGGCUAAAAAUAAUAGUCGAAAAAGCUCUCAUUUUCACUU
rnacentral:lncRNA from 1 species